GCCCCCGUGGCGGAACGGUAGACGCGGCGGACUCAAAAUCCGCGGCCGCAAGGCGUGGGAGUUCGAGUCUCCCCGGGGGCA
rnacentral:tRNA from 1 species